rnacentral:rRNA from 1 species
UAAGGAAUAUUGGUCAAUGGACGCAAGUCUGAACCAGCCAUGCCGCGUGAAGGAUGAAGGUCCUCUGGAUUGUAAACUUCUUUUAUCUGGGACAAAAACGGGAUUUUUAUCUCAAUUGACGGUACCAGAGGAAUAAGCACCGGCUAACUCCGUGCCAGCAGCCGCGGUAAUACGGAGGGUGCGAGCGUUAUCCGGAUUUACUGGGUUUAAAGGGUGCGUAGGUGGGCUUAUAAGUCAGUGGUGGAAUCUCCGAGCUUAACUUGGAAACUGCCGUUGAUACUAUAGGUCUUGAAUUAUCUGGAGGUAAGCGGAAUAUGUCAUGUAGCGGUGAAAUGCUUAGAUAUGACAUAGAACACCAAUUGCGAAGGCAGCUUACUACAUAUAAAUUGACGCUGAGGCACGAAAGCGUGGGGA